GUCUCUGGUCACACCAGCCUGAAUGCCCCUGAAUUCAUCUAAUAUCGGCAGCUAAGCAGGGUUGGGCCUGGUUAGUACUUGGAUGGAAUAAAAGAUAAUUUCAGUUU
rnacentral:rRNA from 1 species